ensembl:lncRNA
GCAUCUUCUUUGUCAGCUUCAGGGAGACACUUUGCUGUCUGUGUAGUUUCUGUAGAGAGGUUACUCAUUUCAGUUUUUAUGAUUUAUUUAAAUUAAAUUUCAGUUUUAGUUACCAUUCAUAAAUUGUAGGUGUAUACGUCUGGUUCAAGAUGUAAAACCUUUAGAGUGGGAAACAGUCAUGUGUCCCCGGUCUCAAUGAAAGUGAAACACUUUUACUCUUUUAAUUUAUUUGAUUUAUUUACUAAUUCAUUCUAGUUUUAUUUCCCUGGGAGAUCUCAUUUACAAGAGAGGCCUGGCAAUUUUAACAACCUUAAAAUGCACUGAAUACAACACAAAAUCAUGUAGAAAUACUCAAAACACAACAUCUAGGCUAAUAAAAUCAAAAGCAGUUGUAUGUUGACUGUCGUAGAUUUCCCACAUAUGCACUGUUACGAUUCGGUGUUGUCAGUGUUUUGUUUUAGGCGUGACGGUUGUGUUUCCUGCUUUACUUUGAAAGUCUGUCUUAUCUCAGUGUGUUCAGUUUACGCUUCCUUGUCUCGUCAGUUCUGAUUUGCCCCAGCUGUGUUUCCCUCCUGUUGUCCAUUCCCUGAUUGCUCCCUCUAUGUAUUUAAGCCCUGUGUUUCAGUUUGUCAGGUUCGCGAUCUUCCCCCGGUUGUAAAUAGUUUGGUGUUUUGAUGUAAAUAAAUGUCUUAUUUUGCUUUGAUGUAAAUAGUUGUCGAUCCUUUCGUUUUGGGAUUUUUUUUGUGGAGACCCGUAGUAGUUUUUUUUGUUUUGUUUUGUUUUUCCCUUAUUUUUAUUUUUUCUGUGUUGCACGCCGGUUGCCUAGGCCGUGGUGUAACAUAAUGGGGGCUCGUCCGGGAUCCGCUGGAGGGUCCGAGGGACCGCUCCAGCCUUCGUCUACCUUCGCUGGAGGGUCCGAGGGACCGCUCCAGCCUUCGUCGUCUUCGCUGGAGGGGUCCGAGGGACCGCUCCAGCCUUCGUCCGCCUUCGCUGGAGGGUCCGAGGGACCGCUCCAGCCUUCCGUUUCCACUGGAGGAUCCAAGGGGCCCGUCCAGCCAUCAGCGUCGCCUGCAGAACAGCAGCCGGUGCCGUAUGCGCUGGUCAUGAAUCAAACAUUUUCUUUGGGGUUACAUGUUUUAAAUGUUUGAUUUUUGGGUGGGGGGAGCUGUUACGAUUCGGUGUUGUCAGUGUUUUGUUUUAGGCGUGACGGUUGUGUUUCCUGCUUUACUUUGAAAGUCUGUCUUAUCUCAGUGUGUUCAGUUUACGCUUCCUUGUCUCGUCAGUUCUGAUUUGCCCCAGCUGUGUUUCCCUCCUGUUGUCCAUUCCCUGAUUGCUCCCUCUAUGUAUUUAAGCCCUGUGUUUCAGUUUGUCAGGUUUGCGAUCUUCCCCCCGGUUGUAAAUAGUUUGGUGUUUUGAUGUAAAUAAAUGUCUUAAUUUGCUUUGAUGUAAAUAGUUGUCGAUCCUUUCGUUUUGGGAUUUUUUUUUGUGGAGACCCGUAGUAGUUUUUUUUGUUGUUUUUUUUUUUCCCCUUAUUUUUAUUUUUUCUGUGUUGCACGCCGGUUGCCUAGGCCGUGGUGUAACAGCACACUGUUGUAUUAAUCAGAUAAACAUCACACAAAAUGACACAAAAUCACUGUUUUUGUCUCAUUUGUAAGAACACAAGCCUGUAUUUUAGCUCCGCAGAACUUCUAGGAAGGUGAAUAUUCAGAGUGCGUGGCUGCUGAUUCCCACACUCAUUCACCUUUUCCCACCACCUCCGUGUGUGAAGCCCAAAUGAAACAGAGAUAUUCAUGGCUCCUCUCCACGAGCAUAAAGACCUGGACCUCCUGCCCUGGUCAUUCAAUUAGCCACAGUGGCGAGUGUGAGUGUGAUUCUGUGUGUGUGUGUGUGAGAGUGCAAACUAUUGCCCUGUCUGAGCAGCCAACCUCAACUAAGGGCCAGGCUCAAACACCGGCUUAAAGCUAAC